rnacentral:rRNA from 1 species
CCUACGGGUGGCAGCAGUGAGGAAUAUUGGUCAAUGGGCGCGAGCCUGAACCAGCCAAGUAGCGUGAAGGAUGACUGCCCUACGGGUUGUAAACUUCUUUUAUAAAGGAAUAAAGUGAGGCACGUGUGCCUUUUUGCAUGUACUUUAUGAAUAAGGCUCGGCUAACUCCGUGCCAGCAGCCGCGGUAAUACGGAGGAUCCGAGCGUUAGCCGGAUUUAUUGGGUUUAAAGGGAGCGUAGAUGGGUUGGUAAGUCAGUUGUGAAAGUUUGCGGCUCAACCGUAAGAUUGCAAUUGAUACUGGCAGUCUUGAGUGCAGUUGAGGUAGGCGGAAUUCGUGGUGUAGCGGUGAAAUGCGUAGAUAUCACGAGGAACUCCGGUGGCGAAGGCAGCUUACUGAACUGCAACUGACGUUGAGGCUCGAAAGUGUGGGGAGCAAACAGGAUUAGAUACCCCGGUAGUC